rnacentral:rRNA from 1 species
UACGGGGGGGGUAAGCGUUGUUCGGAAUUACUGGGCGUAAAGGGCUCGUAGGCGGCCAACUAAGUCAGACGUGAAAUCCCUCAGCUUAACUGGGGAACUGCGUCUGAUACUGGAUGGCUUGGAUUCGGGAGAGGAAUGCGGAAUUCCAGGUGUAGCGGUGAAAUGCGCAGAUAUCAGGAGGAACACCGGUGGCGAAGGCGGGUCUCUGGGCCGAAAUUGACGCUGAGGAGCGAAAGCGUGGGGAGCAAACAGG